UACGUAGGGGGCAAGCGUUGUCCGGAUUUAUUGGGCGUAAAGAGCGUGUAGGCGGUCAGGUAGGUCCGUUGUGAAAACUCUAGGCUCAACCUCGAGACGCCGAUGGAAACCAUCUGACUAGAGUCCGGAAGAGGAGAGUGGAAUUCCUGGUGUAGCGGUGAAAUGCGCAGAUAUCAGGAAGAACACCCGUGGCUAAGGCGGCUCUCUAGUACGGUACUGACGCUGAGACGCGAAAGCGUGGGGAGCGAACAGG
rnacentral:rRNA from 1 species